GCCAUCUUGGCUCAGUGGUUGAGCGUCCACCUAUGAUGCAGGAGGUUGUGGGCUCGAUCCCCAGUAGGGGGCG
rnacentral:tRNA from 1 species